rnacentral:rRNA from 1 species
AGUGAGAGCUUUCUGAUCCCUGUUCUCGGUUUUCUGUUUUCCGAUGGGGGAGCGGCGGACGGGUGAGUAACGCGUGGGAAUUUUCCUCAAGGUACGGAACAACUCAGGGAACCUUGGGCUAAUACCGUAUGAUGCAGAGAUGCAAAAGAUUUAUCGCCUUGGGAUAAGCCCGCGUCAGAUUAGGUAGUUGGUGGGGUAACGGCCUACCAAGCCUGCGAUCUGUAGCUGGUCUGAGAGGACGAUCAGCCACACUGGGACUGAGACACGGCCCAGACUCCUACGGGAGGCAGCAGUGGGGAAUCUUGCGCAAUGGGCGAAAGCCUGACGCAGCCAUGCCGCGUGAAUGAUGAAGGUCUUAGGAUUGUAAAGUUCUUUCGCCCGUGACGAUGAUGACGGUAACGGGAGAAGAAGCCCCGGCUAACUUCGUGCCAGCAGCCGCAGUAAAAC